GUCCCCAUUUCGGUGCAGAGUCCUUUGCAAGUGACAUUGUGAAGUAGGCAAACACUGUGCCUUUGAGUGACAUUGUGAAGUUGGCGGAGGGUGCCCUAGGUGACAUUGUGAAGUAGGCAAAAGAGACAACAGACCAACACUGCAGGCCAUGCAUGUGUAGAAGAGAGAACUUUGAUCUCCAACUGUGCCCGGAACCAGUCUCAUGUGCUCCCCCUUCCAAUCAGGGAAACAAAGGACCAGAACUUGAACACCGGAAUCCUUCCAGAAGCCAAGGGCCUAUUGUCCAGGAAGAUUUAGUGUCGACAUUCCUUUACCAUAAAUGGCCAAGUUCCAAGGUCCUCCAGUUAAAACUUGCCCACCAGCUAUUCUGCAUACCUAUUCCUCCAACCCCUUAACAACCCGUCACCUAGUCCAGUGUGUAAGAUUUGAGAAUUAGAACUCCCAUCUUAUCAGUUGGCACCUUGUCAAACAAUUAACCUUUCCUUACUCAAAA